GUAAUUUUUAGCUCCAGAAUUUCUUUCAGGUUUCCUUUUAGGUCUUUUCUUUAUUGAUAUUUUCAUUUUGUGCAUACAUUGUUUUCUUGACUUUCCCAACAUCUUUCUUUAGUUCUAUGUACAUCUUUAAGAAAGUAUGUUUUAAAUACAUCUUCAAUGUCUUUUAU